rnacentral:rRNA from 1 species
GACGAACGCUGGCGGCGUGCUUAACACAUGCAAGUCGAACGGAAAGGCCCUGCUUUUGUGGGGUGCUCGAGUGGCGAACGGGUGAGUAACACGUGAGUAACCUGCCCUUGACUUUGGGAUAACUUCAGGAAACUGGGGCUAAUACCGGAUAUGAGCUCCUGCUGCAUGGUGGGGGUUGGAAAGUUUCGGCGGGUGGGGAUGGACUCGCGGCUUAUCAGCUUGUUGGUGGGGUAGUGGCUUACCAAGGGUGUGACGGGUAGCCGGCCUGUGGGGGUGACCGGCGACAUUGGGACUGAGAUACGGCCCAGACUCCUACGGGAGGCAGCAGUGGGGAAUAUUGCACAAUGGGCGGAAGCCUGAGGCAGCAACGCCGCGGGCGGGAUGACGGCCUUCGGGUUGUAAACCGCUUUCGCCUGUGACGAAGCGUGAGUGACGGUAAUGGGUAAAGAAGCACCGGCUAACUACGUG